GGCCGUAACUAUAACGGUCCUAAGGUAGCGAAAUUCCUUGUCGGGUAAGUUCCGACCUGCACGAAUGGCGUAACGAUGGCGGCGCUGUCUCCACCCGAGACUCAGUGAAAUUGAAAUCGCUGUGAAGAUGCAGUGUAUCCGCGGCUAGACGGAAAGACCCCGUGAACCUUUACUGUAGCUUUGCACUGGACUUUGAGCCUGCUUGUGUAGGAUAGGUGGGAGGCUUUGAAGCGUGGACGCCAGUUCGCGUGGAGCCAUCCUUGAAAUACCACCCUGGCAUGCUUGAGGUUCUAACUCUGGUCCGUAAUCCGGAUCGAGGACAGUGUAUGGUGGGCAGUUUGACUGGGGCGGUCUCCUCCUAAAGAGUAACGGAGGAGUACGAAGGUGCGCUCAGACCGGUCGGAAAUCGGUCGCAGAGUAUAAAGGCAAAAGCGCGCUUGACUGCGAGACAGACACGUCGAGCAGGUACGAAAGUAGGUCUUAGUGAUCCGGUGGUUCUGUAUGGAAGGGCCAUCGCUCAACGGAUAAAAGGUACUCCGGGGAUAACAGGCUGAUACCGCCCAAGAGUUCAUAUCGACGGCGGUGUUUGGCACCUCGAUGUCGGCUCAUCACAUCCUGGGGCUGAAGCCGGUCCCAAGGGUAUGGCUGUUCGCCAUUUAAAGUGGUACGCGAGCUGGGUUUAGAACGUCGUGAGACAGUUCGGUCCCUAUCUGCCGUGGACGUUUGAGAUUUGAGAGGGGCUGCUCCUAGUACGAGAGGACCGGAGUGGACGAACCUCUGGUGUUCCGGUUGUCACGCCAGUGGCAUUGCCGGGUAGCUAUGUUCGGAAAAGAUAACCGCUGAAAGCAUCUAAGCGGGAAACUUGCCUCAAGAUGAGAUCUCACUGGGAACUUGAUUCCCCUGAAGGGCCGUCGAAGACUACGACGUUGAUAGGCUGGGUGUGUAAGCGUUGUGAGGCGUUGAGCUAACCAGUACUAAUUGCCCGUGAGGCUUGACCAU
rnacentral:rRNA from 1 species